CAGCACCGCGGUAAUACGAAGGGUGCAAGCGUUAAUCGGAAUUACUGGGCGUAAAGCGUGCGUAGGCGGUGAGUUAAGUCUGCUGUGAAAUCCCCGGGCUCAACCUGGGAAUGGCAGUGGAUACUGGCUCGCUAGAGUGUGUCAGAGGAUGGUGGAAUUCCCGGUGUAGCGGUGAAAUGCGUAGAUAUGCGGAGGAACACCGAUGGCGAAGGCAGCCCCCUGGGCCAACACUGACGCUCAUGCACGAAAGCGUGGGGAGCAAACAGGAUUAGAUACCCGGGUAGUCCCUGUCUCUUAUACA
rnacentral:rRNA from 1 species